GGAAAGAGUAUCAAGAGGAGACCCUAAGACACUCUGUAAGAAUCCCAGUGACUCCUCACUGUUCAACUAAGAAAUGUACCCCAUUAUGCUGUGCUACCACGGAAGCAUUGGAGGCACUUUGGGGGUUGAUGAAGUCUUCAUGGAUGAGGUCAGCUUACUGUAUGAUUAAGUAACACAAGGCACAGUAGCCAUCUUUUUCAUUAUGUUGCAACACUGAUCACGUGCCUCGAUAAAAUGGCUGAUUCAACAAGAUGAUGGCAACACGAAGGGGAGACUUUGGAUUGUCUAUUUAAAAUCUAGGUAAUAAGUAAGUAAUUAAUAAAAACUCUAUCUUAAGUGCACUUUCACAUGCUUUUUGUUUAUAAUAAACAAACAACAAACUUCCUAACUUUGUUGCAAUAGGCUUGACUACCAUUUCAUUUGGCCAAAUGCACUUUCCCCAGUAAACUUAAAACAACAACGAGAACAACAAGAACAAAAAUCCCUGUCCUUUCAUAUACUAAGAAAGAGGAUUGGCUACUGAAACAGUUCAUUGCAAGACACAUGAAGACGACAUACUGUGGCAUGAGUUGUUUUUGUUUUUAAUUUGUUGUGCUGUUACUAAAGUUCUGAGGGCUGCAGUUAAAACAUUCCAAUUUCUCCCUUCCUUCCAUCUUUCUUUAUUGAUUGAUUCUCAAGAUUUUGCACAGAAAACUCUUUGGGGGCUAGAACAGCAGUAAUUGCAUCACACUGUUUUCAAGACUUCAAGUUUCAAAAGCAAAUCAUUAAAAAAAAUACAGUUCCUGAUUUGAGUUAGAUACAGGGACAAAAAAGUAGCACAUACUUGAAGGUUACGUGGUCUACAAAUGGUGGCAAUAUUUUCCUUGGGAGAGUAGUUCUGUUGGUAUAUAUUUUUUAAAUACUCAAAAGGCUCAACCUCAAGCAGUAAUAAACACAAGCAAAAGUGAUUUAACCCUUAAAAUAAAUAUUCAGAAAAACCUCUCUGUACAUACAAGUGAAAGAAUAUGUAACACUUUCACGCAAAAAAAUAAUUAUAAUAAUAAUAAAGGAUUUGUUCAUAUAUGUAGCUGAAAUCUGCUGUUCCAGCCCACAUGUCCCCAAUAAAGAAGGGAGGCACAGACAUAGGUGACUACUGUGGUUGACUAUCUUACAGCCUUUUUGUACUGGGACACUAUCACCACCAAAAAUUUAUCCCUCGUUAUAUUUUUAAAAUUUUUUAAAUUUUUUCUUUUUUUUUCCUUCCUUUUUUUUGUUUUAUUUUGUUUUGUUUUGUUUUACAGCAUGCCAAAUCCUUUGGCAUACGUGAUGGCCUUCAACAAUCUCUCUUUAAGUUUUUCUUUGCUUGAGUAUUCCGGAAGUAAAAGCACAUUAAAGCAAGUAUGAGAUGUAGGUAACCU
rnacentral:lncRNA from 1 species